AGGCGAGUAACACUGGCUUCAAACUUCUUUGAACUUGAAGAUUCAUCCCCAAAGGAAGCCCUGUAUAUAGUGGAAGAAAGACCUUCUGAUACACAUCGAUCUGAAGAGAAACUGCGGCAAGCAGAUACAAUUUCUUCGUAUGAGAAGUUCCUUAGUGUUCCACUGUGUGUUCCACAAGGAGGCAGUGGUAAUGGCCCAGAAGCAAAGAGAGGGCCACUGCUAUUUCCAGCUUUGAAACUACCAACAGGCUUCAGAGCAACAGCAGGAAGAGGAAGAGGCUGUGGACUUGGGUGGUCCCUUGUUAAACCAACUCUGCUCUUUGACUCUUCAUGCUCAUCAUAUUCAACUGCAGCAAGAUCAUCUUGUUCUGCAGCAUCAAGGCUUUCUGGAGCUGACAAUGCUCGUGCUCUACUGUUAGUUACUCUGUUAG
rnacentral:misc_RNA from 1 species